UACGAAGGGUGCAAGCGUUACUCGGAAUUACUGGGCGUAAAGCGUGCGUAGGUGGUUUGUUAAGUCUGAUGUGAAAGCCCUGGGCUCAACCUGGGAAUUGCAUUGGAUACUGGCAGGCUAGAGUGCGGUAGAGGAUGGCGGAAUUCCCGGUGUAGCAGUGAAAUGCGUAGAGAUCGGGAGGAACAUCUGUGGCGAAGGCGGCUUUCUGGGCCCUACCUGACGCUGAGACGCGAAAGCGUGGGGAGCGAACAGG
rnacentral:rRNA from 1 species